rnacentral:tRNA from 1 species
GCCCCAGUAGCUCAGUCUGGAUAGAGCAACUGCCUCCUAAGCAGUAGGUCGCGUGUUCAAAUCACGUCUGGGGCACCA